rnacentral:rRNA from 1 species
GACGAACCGUCCUAACGUUGUUCGGAAUCACUGGGCUUAAAGGGCGCGUAGGCGGCUUGCCAAGUCAGGGGUGAAAUCCUGCAGCUUAACUGUAGAAGGGCCUUUGAUACUGGCGAGCUCGAGGGAGGUAGGGGUAUGUGGAACUUCCGGUGGAGCGGUGAAAUGCGUUGAUAUCAAUAGGAACUCCGGUGGCGAAGGCGGCACGCUGGACCUCUUCUGACGCUGAGGCGCGAAAGCCAGGGGAGCAAACGGG